GAUGAAUGCUGGCGGCGUGCCUAACACAUGUAAGUCGAGCGGCAGCGCGGAGAGUUUACUCUCUGGCGGCGAGCGGCGGACGGCUGAGUAACGCGUGGGAACGUGCCCCAAAGUGAGGAAUAGCUGCCCGAAAGGGUGGCUAAUGCCGCAUAUGAUCUUCGGAUUAAAGGAUUUAUCCGCUUUGGGAGCGGCCCGCGUCGGAUUAGGUUGUUGGUGAGGUAAUGGCUCACCAAGCCGACGAUCCGUAGCUGGUCUGAGAGGAUGAUCAGCCAGACUGGGACUGAGACACGGCCCAGACUCCAACGGGAGGCAGCAGUGAGGAAUCUUCCACAAUGGGCGAAAGCCUGAUGGAGCAACGCCGCGUGCAGGAUGAAGGCCUUCGGGUUGUAAACUGCGUUUAUAAGUGAAGAAUAUGACGGUAACUUAUGAAUAAGCACCGGCUAACUACGUGCCAGCCGCCGCCGUAA
rnacentral:rRNA from 1 species